GCUACGGUUGUCUAAGUGGUAAGAGCGUCCGCCUCAGAUGAGAUAGGUCCGGGUUUCGAACCCCGGUCGAGUCAUAGCA